rnacentral:lncRNA from 1 species
GGACUCCGCACAGAGCUUCAUAACCUCUUCAUGGACUUUUUAUCUUCAAGCCGAUGACGGAAAAAUAGUUAUAUUCCAGUCUAAGCCAGAAAUCCAGUACGCACCACAUUUGGAGCAGGAGCCUACAAAUUUGAGAGAAUCAUCUCUAAGCAAAAUGUCCUGUAAAUCUGCAAAUGAGAAAUUCACAAGCGCACAGGAAUUUUCUUGAAGAUGGAGAAAGUGAUGGCUUUUUAAGAUGCCUCUCUCUUAACUCUGGGUGGAUUUUAACUACAACUCUUGUCCUCUCGGUGAUGGUAUUGCUUUGGAUUUGUUGUGCAACUGUUGCUACAGCUGUGGAGCAGUAUGUUCCCUCUGAGAAGCUGAGUAUCUAUGGUGACUUGGAGUUUAUGAAUGAACAAAAGCUAAACAGAUAUCCAGCUUCUUCUCUUGUGGUUGUUAGAUCUAAAACUGAAGAUCAUGAAGAAGCAGGGCCUCUACCUACAAAAGUGAAUCUUGCUCAUUCUGAAAUUUAAGCAUUUUUCUUUUAAAAGACAAGUGUAAUAGACAUCUAAAAUUCCACUCCUCAUAGAGCUUUUAAAAUGGUUUCAUUGGAUAUAGGCCUUAAGAAAUCACUAUAAAAUGCAAAU